rnacentral:misc_RNA from 1 species
GGAAGGAUCAUUCACAUGACAAGUGAUAUCCGGAUAAAUGCCUGGUCCUGCCUGUUUCCGACAAUCUGGGCAUACUUAGAAUAUAUUUUUAGCGAUUAACGUCUUGGCUCCCAUUUCGAUGAAGGACGCGGCGAACUGCGUUACACAGUGUGAAUUGCAGAAUUCUGUGAAACACUAGUUUGCUGAACGUAUCAGAUACUCGUAGGUUUGCCAAAGAGUGCACUUGUUUCAGUGUGAUCGUCAUUUCGAACCCUGACGGUGGUUCUGGGUGUUACAUUGAAAAAAAUGUAUCGCCCUCAUAUGCAUCCGUGUAACUGCUGGCUGUGUACAUUCACAUUGAAUGAAUUUGCCAACAGUUCUCCCAUCAAUCUAACAUCUGAAAUCAAGUGAGAUUACCUGCAGAAUUUAAGCAUAUCAGUUAGCAGUGGAAAAGAAAUUAACCAAGAUUCCCUUAUUAAUGGCGAAUGAACUGGGAGAAGCCUAUUUUGGAAAUCAGGAGCGUGCGUUCUUGAAUUGUAGUCUUACGAAGUGUCUCCAGUGAAAGUGCAUUUGGAAGUUUCUUGAAACAGAGUCGUAAGGAGAGUAAAACGCUCGUUCCUUAUGUAGUCUUUCACGUACGGUACGCUUUUGAGGAGUCGUGUUUCUUUGAAGUGAAACGCAAAUAGGAAGGUAAACGUCUUUUUAGGCUACUUGCUGGUGGGAGACCGAUAGCAAACAAGUACCGUGAGGGAAAGAUGAAAAGAACUUUGUGAAGAGAGUUAAAAUGACCUGCAACCGCUAAAAAGGAAGCGUAAGGAACUGUUGUGUACGAGUGUUGCCUGUUGUGACGUGAGUUGACUGUGGACUUGGAUCAAGUUGCAGUUAUACAAACGGUGCAUAAGGUCUUCAUUCGUACGUGAGUAACAUCGUUUGCUCAAGGAGAAAAUGUGAUAAGAAAGGUUCGUCACUAUUGACGUAUUCAUACUUUGAUCAUGCUCCUUGAAUGCAUUGAGGAUCAUUGGUAUUAGCUGUACUUCCGAGGACUUCUACUACUUGAUGUUGAUGAAACAGUUCUUUCCGACCCGUCUUGAAACACGGACCAAGGAGUCUAACAAGUGUGCGAGUAUGCACUCGUACGAUGGCAUGCGCUGUGAACACGACGGUGAAGAUAUUUGAAUUGACAACCGACCACUUCUGUGUGCAGGGUUUGAGUAAAAGCACAUUUGUUAGGACCCGAAAGAUGGUGAACUAUACUUGAAUACGAUGAAGUCAGAGGAAACUCUGAUGGAGGUCCGUAGCGAUACUGACGUGCAAAUCGUUCGUCAGAUUUGAGUAUAGGGGCGAAAGACUAAUCGAACCAUCUAGUAGCUGGUUCUCUC